UUGAGAAAAAUGUCGGGACACCGGAACCUUUGAUGUAAAACCGGGCCAUCUGGUCACCCUAUGGCACAAUACGUACAACAAAAUUGAAUUUCAACAGACAAGCUGAACAUUUUAUAACAAUUGCUUUUAAUGAACUAAAUAUUUUUUGUAUUGCAUUUGUCCAUUCACAUUGUAGGUGAGGGCGUCUUUGUUCAUGAACAUCAUCAGUUACAUACUGGCCACAACGGCAUUUACCUGCUUGACAAUAUAUAUAGUUUCUGAUGACCCGAUCUCAUACUGCAGUCAUGAAUCUUCACCCGAAUGCCAGAAUGAAAUCAUUUUGAAGAAAACUCUAAGAGGGAUCGUCAUUAUGAUACUUAUUUUACAUAUUAUGGAGUUUUUCCUUAUCCUAGCCACUUAUAAGUUCACGUGCAAAGCAGUGUGUCGGGACAACUUCGUUAUACUGCCUGUCAUUCAACACACACAAUGAUGUCCACUGGGCAUCGGGCAAUCGUUUCUGCGCAAAUACAGUAAUAUGAAAAAAUAAACGCGUUGCAAAGUGAUAACAGAACGCCGUUGUUUCCAAAGUGCGGGUUUGGCACCCCCUAGGGUUGAAACGACGACAUCACAAGGAGCGCUUCUACAGUAUCUAUAAUGGCUUCAGAGCAAAGCUUGUACUCUUAUACAAGUUUUUCAUGGUAUUUGUACACGGUAUUGCUGCAGUUUUACCUUGCUUUUCCUAUGGUUAUACUAUGCAUUUACCAUAGUUUACCUGGGUUUGCCGCCUUUAUUGAUGUGCUUUACCAUACCUCUGUGCUUUACAGUGCUUCCCUAUGCUUUACCAGACCUCUCUG